rnacentral:tRNA from 1 species
GGCUCUGUGGCUGAGUGAUAGAGCGCAUGAAUUUUGAAUUGAUGGGUCCUAGGUUCGAAUCCUGGUGAAGACU